rnacentral:rRNA from 1 species
UACGGAGGGGGCUAGCGUUGUUCGGAAUUACUGGGCGUAAAGCGCACGUAGGCGGCUUUGCAAGUCAGAGGUGAAAGCCCGGGGCUCAACCCCGGAAUUGCCUUUGAGACUGCAUCGCUUGAACAUCGGAGAGGUAAGUGGAAUUCCGAGUGUAGAGGUGAAAUUCGUGGAUAUUGGGAAGAACACCGGUGGCGAAGGCGGCCAUCUGGACCGCAACUGACGCUCAUGCACGAAAGCGUGGGGAGCAAACAGG